CAGUAGCCGCGGUAAUGCGAAGGGGGCUAGCGUUGCUCGGAAUCACUGGGCGUAAAGGGCGCGUAGGCGGCCAUUCAAGUCAGAGGUGAAAGCCUGGAGCUCAACUCCAGAAUUGCCUUUGAUACUGUUUGGCUCGAGACCGGAAGAGGUUAGUGGAACUGCGAGUGUAGAGGUGAAAUUCGUAGAUAUUCGCAAGAACACCAGUGGCGAAGGCGGCUAACUGGUCCGGUUCUGACGCUGAGGCGCGAAAGCGUGGGGAGCAAACAGGAUUAGAGACCCCUGUAGUCCCUGUCUCUUAUAC
rnacentral:rRNA from 1 species